rnacentral:ribozyme from 12 species
UAUUAAAGUGGUUUGAUCAUACUUGCAAAUAACUUCCUAGUUUUUUUUUUUUUUUUUUUUUUUUUUGCCU